rnacentral:rRNA from 1 species
UACGUAGGGACCAAGCGUUGUUCGGAUUUACUGGGCGUAAAGGGCGCGUAGGCGGCGUGGUAAGUCACUUGUGAAAUCUCUGAGCUUAACUCAGAACGGCCAAGUGAUACUGCUGUGCUAGAGUGCAGAAGGGGCAAUCGGAAUUCUUGGUGUAGCGGUGAAAUGCGUAGAUAUCAAGAGGAACACCUGAGGUGAAGACGGGUUGCUGGGCUGACACUGACGCCGAGGCGCGAAAGCCAGGGGAGCAAACGGG